ACUCAGUCUCUCACUCCCCUGCCCUCUGAAACUCAGUCUGCCCCACCUCCUUCCUCGCCUGAGACUGCCAAAAAAUCCGACAUACGAUCGUUCCGGAAGAUGCACCGGAGUUUGCAAUGGAAAAAAUCGAUACAGUUUUUAUCAUAUGCUUACUAGAGGACCUAAAGAGUAGUAACUUGGGAAGUGAGCCUUCUAUCAGGCAACUUGAUUUUUCCGAGUCCCCAAGGGGUUCUGAAUACAGCACUGGGUCGACUGUCCAGUUCCAUGCAAAAGGUGAUAAAAUAGAACAACCUCAAGCUGAAAUAUGUUCACCAGACCAGUAUGGUGGUGUUGAGCCAAUGCCAAUUCAUGCAGAAGUAUAGAAUAGUGGUGGCGGUUGUCAAGAUGGAAUUUGUUCAUGUCUACUUGCAGAAAUUUGUGUCCUAGGAAAUUCUAGCCCAUCUUCACCAUCCAAUUGUCUGGAAAGAUUUUGUCUUAUCUCUUCAGUUCACUGUCCAUGUCUCCUAAGCCUUUUCGACCCUUUUCUUUACCAAAAGGCCGUUGCAAGAUCUGCACCUCAAAAUUGUGAUUUAAAAUGUUUUAGUACAUUCUAUUUGCCAAUUUGAUCUUACAAUGUGUUAUGCAAGGGUUAUAGGCCUGAAUACUCAAAUUGAUUUCUAGUGUGUCUGUUGAAUUGCUUGAUUUUUCUCUGAGUCUUCUAUAAGGUAUUGGUUGUUGGUAUUCAGUUUUUUUGGGCAGUUCUGUUUUCGGUCUUCGAUUUUCCAUUUGUACAUAGCAUGCAUUAUAGAACCUUAGUCUUUUUAAGAGUAGUAUUUUUAACAGAGUAAUUACACAUCAGUAAUUUGGGAACCUCCCAUACAUUGUCUUAGAAAAACCGAUACCUGUAUCUGCCGGCGAUUCUUCCCUUCUCUGUUUUUUCCAUUGAAAAAAAUAUUAAGUUAAAAAAAAAAAACUUAGAGAAACAGAUUCAAUAGUAGAUGAGAUGAGAGGGACGGAGAAUCAUACCGCCAGUGUAUUUUCCGAAAUGAUCGUCCGUCGGAUUUCUUGACAGUCUCAAGCGGGGGUGGAGGUGGUGUGGACUGAGUUUGAGAGGGCAGGGGAGUGAGAGACCGAGUAUGAACGAGAAAUAGGGGAGUGAGUGAAACUCGUUUUGGGGUGAAAUGAGAGCUAAUAGGACGAACUAACAGCCGUCCCGUUAACUCAUACGAGAAUGAGACGUAUACGUGUGGGAGGACACGCGGCUGAUUCUAAGACUGUAGGACAUUUUUGGGGCGCAACCUGGUCGGGGGCAUAUUCGAACUCGGCGCAGAUGUGAAUCCGACUGGAUUGUGGUGAGACGUGCGGAUACAGGUGUUGGAAGGUUUUCUGGUUGGGAGGAGAUCCAGGAGAUCCAGACUCGUACCGAAAUCCGAACAGAAUUUUCGCGCCUCUCCUUAAUUUCACGGAAUUUUAUAUCCGCAACGGAGGCGGGAGAUGUUCCUAAUUUACGGUUGGAAUGUGCUGCGCGGGGUGAGCUCUGCUGGUGCACCGAUCCAACGGUCCAAACACGAAUCAUGCUUCAAUAAGCAGAGCACUCUCUCGCUCCCUCUCGUUCUCUGUUUUCUCUUCCUUCUUUUUCCCUUCAAUAAAGGGGAAGGGGAAAGAUGUCUUUUGCAAUGGGGAUGAUGAAUUUCUCCGAUGGCAACAUCUACGAGUCGCAGGAAAGUAGAACCAUCGACAUUCGCUAUGCAUUUUAAGUAUCUCUAUAUAUGUUGAUUCGACUAUGCAGUUCUUCUUAUUUCUUCAUUUUGAUUGAAUUUUGCAUAUAUCUGAUUGAGGUUAAUCAUUUCACCGAAACGAUCUAUAUAUGUUGAAUUUUGUAUUGGUUUUAUAAAGAAAAGGUUAUCUUGAAGUACUUGUGGUGUGCAGUUGGAAAAUAUCUCUGUGUUGGUAUCGCUUGUGAGACGUUUUUGCCUUUUUCUAUCCAAAGAGACUACAUUUGUAUCAAAUUUCAUUAACUUGAAGGAUUCUCAUGACAUGUAUAUAAACAAUUUGAGACAAGUGUCGCAGUCUCCCUUGCAUGGCUUCGAAAGAAAAGCUCAGAAACUUAUUUCCCUUGGUUUACUUGAUUGCUCUCCAAUUAGGUUAUUCAAACCGUUAGUUUGUGUGAAACAUUUUGAACUGAUUGGAUUCCUUUACAAAUUGCUGUCAACGUGUCCUUUGGAUGUUCUUGUUUUGAUGACACUGUGAGCCUGUGAGAUGCUGGAUGGUUGCCUAUUUCUGUUAUCCAUGCAGGUUAUUUGCGGCAUUGCUCUGUUGAGCUUGUUUCUUUGAUAAGUUUUUGAUCAUUUGGUGCUAACUUGAUGAACUGCUUUAUGUUCGAUUGCCUAAGGGUGGCUGCACUUACUACCUAAAAUUAAGUUCCCAAAUAGCUCAAUUGUCCACUCUUUGUUCGACUGACUAACUUGAUGAACUGCUUUAUAUUCAAGUGAUCUGCCUGUCUGGAGGGAUUUGGAUGGUGAGAGGAGGGGGUCAUUCUGUUCUGUUAAAAUUUAUUUAGUUUUGUUUUUAAACUGUGGAAUGCAGCGGAUGGGUUUUAUGGGAGGAGUAACACCUCUGGUUUUGUAAAAGUUAUAUUCAAGGUUGGAGGCUUAGAAGGGUCCUUACUAUUAGUGGACAAGAUAUAAAAAUAAUUGUUGGAAGCUAACCACAUAAAAAUGAAAAGGGACUGACGAGUAUUUGGUCUUUGAUGCAGCUUUAAAUAUUAAACCAUUGAUGGUUGAACUUCAUCCUUGCAUUUUGUGCUAAAGGAUGCUAAUCAGAAGCUGCAAGUGUUUUAGAAAACAAGAGUAGAACGCAGAUGUUACUAUUGACUGAAUCAUGGAGUGGGUGGGGUUGCUAGAAAUCAUGCUUGAAAUGCUCUGCUAAGUUACUCAAGACCAGCUACAGAAAGAACUUCUUGGAGUGCAAACCACUCAUCCUCAUGCGGCCUUACGAUCUCCUAGAGCAGCGGUCUAGGAUGCAUGAGUUUUCUGAAGAAACUUUUCAUCCAUUUGAGUGUUUUCAGAGCUAAAUUUCUCUAUUCAAAAGAGUGGGACCUCGUGAAAAUCUGAAUUAAUAAAGAAAUUAAAGAGGAAAAGGAAACAGCUUGGGUAGAAAAACGAAAUCCGGAUUACUUGUUAACCCAUCUUCCCGACCUUCAAUCAUCUCUCCUCUCCCACACACACAUAUAUGAUGAAACGAUGACAAGCCAAGGAGCCGUUGUUGCACCACCAUCAACCGGCACAGAGUGUUGCAUGUGUGGAGACUAUGGACUAUCUGCUGAGCUCUUUCGUUGCAGGGAUUGUCAGUUCAGAUUUCAGCACAGAUACUGUAGUAAUCUCUAUCCAAAAGCGGAGUCGUACCGAGUCUGCAACUGGUGUCUGAAGAAAGGAGUCAACACCCAGAAUCUGCCUCUUCCAUCAUCGAGCAACUGCAGUGAGAAUGAUGACAAGAACGCAAGGAACAACAUCGGGGAUGAAGCAAUGGCUCCGAAGGUCCAAAGAGGCAGUCUCCAAUUGCAUCUCAGCAGCCCCAUGAAGAAACUGAAGUCGCCGGACAAAUCAUCUUCGGCAAGGAAGAAGAUCAUCCCAAGAGGUAUCUUGGAGGAAAGAUAUCAAAGGAUGAAACAGGAGGAAAUUCCAAACACGGGGGCAACCAGACAGAUUUUUAGAGGUAAGAUUCGAAGAUAUAAGCUCUUGGAUGAGUUUUCUAGUUGACUAGUUUUGACUCUGGCGGACAUAUCUCAUAUCCGGAUCUCUACUCUAUCUAUGUUCAUGCACAUAGUUCUUAUGAUGUAAAUGAUUGUCGAAACUUGAAUCUAACGAAUUUGCAUGGGUUAUUCGGCUCCGCUUCGCUUAAAUUUCAUACUGUUUCUUUCUUGGGUUUAUAUAAAUUGAGUUGUUUUCCUUUUCA